GUCGAGCGGGCAUAGCAAUAUGUCAGCGGCAGACGGGUGAGUAACGCGUGGGAACGUACCUUUUGGUUCGGAACAACUGAGGGAAACUUCAGCUAAUACCGGAUAAGCCCUUACGGGGAAAGAUUUAUCGCCGAAAGAUCGGCCCGCGUCUGAUUAGCUAGUUGGUGAGGUAAUGGCUCACCAAGGCGACGAUCAGUAGCUGGUCUGAGAGGAUGAUCAGCCACAUUGGGACUGAGACACGGCCCAAACUCCUACGGGAGGCAGCAGUGGGGAAUAUUGGACAAUGGGCGCAAGCCUGAUCCAGCCAUGCCGCGUGAGUGAUGAAGGCCCUAGGGUUGUAAAGCUCUUUUGUGCGGGAAGAUAAUGACGGUACCGCAAGAAUAAGCCCCGGCUAACUUCGUGCCAGCAGCCGCGGUAAUACGAAGGGGGCUAGCGUUGCUCGGAAUCACUGGGCGUAAAGGGUGCGUAGGCGGGUCUUUAAGUCAGGGGUGAAAUCCUGGAGCUCAACUCCAGAACUGCCUUUGAUACUGAAGAUCUUGAGUUCGGGAGAGGUGAGUGGAACUGCGAGUGUAGAGGUGAAAUUCGUAGAUAUUCGCAAGAACACCAGUGGCGAAGGCGGCUCACUG
rnacentral:rRNA from 1 species